rnacentral:rRNA from 1 species
UGGCGAAUAUUGCACAAUGGGCGCAAGCCUGAUGCAGCCAUGCCGCGUGUGUGAAGAAGGCCUUCGGGUUGUAAAGCACUUUCAGCGAGGAGGAAGGUGGUGAGCUUAAUACGCUCAUCAAUUGACGUUACUCGCAGAAGAAGCACCGGCUAACUCCGUGCCAGCAGCCGCGGUAAUACGGAGGGUGCAAGCGUUAAUCGGAAUUACUGGGCGUAAAGCGCACGCAGGCGGUUUGUUAAGUCAGAUGUGAAAAUCCCCCGGGCUCAACCUGGGAACUGCAUUUGAAACUGGCAAGCUAGAGUCUCGUAGAGGGGGGUAGAAUUCCAGGUGUAGCGGUGAAAUGCGUAGAGAUCUGGAGGAAUACCGGUGGCGAAGGCGGCCCCCUGGACGAAGACUGACGCUCAGGUGCGAAAGCGUGGGGAGCAAAACAGGAUUAGAUACCCUGGUAGUCCACGCUGUAAACGAUGUCGAUUUGGAGGUUGUGCCCCUUGAGGCGUGG